UACGCAGGGGGCUAGCGUUGCUCGGAAUCACUGGGCGUAAAGCGCACGUAGGCGGCUUGUUAAGUCAGGGGUGAAAUCCUGGAGCUCAACUCCAGAACUGCCUUUGAUACUGGCGAUCUUGAGUUCGGGAGAGGUGAGUGGAACUGCGGGUGUAGAGGUGAAAUUCGUAGAUAUUCGCAAGAACACCAGUGGCGAAGGCGGCUCACUGGCCCGAUACUGACGCUGAGGUGCGAAAGCGUGGGGAGCAAACAGG
rnacentral:rRNA from 1 species